rnacentral:rRNA from 1 species
UUCGGUUGAUCCCGCCGGAGGCUACCGCUAUUGGAGUUCGAUUAAGCCAUGCGAGUCGCGAGUCUUAGGGACUCGGCGUACCGCUCAGUAACACGUGGGUAACCUGCCCUAUGCUGGGGGAUAACCUCGGGAAACUGAGAAUAAUACCCCAUAGUUCACCACGCCUGGAACGGUGGGUGGAUGAAAGCUCCGGCGGCAUAGGAUGGGCCUGCGGCGUAUCAGGUUGUAGGGGGUGUAAUGUACCCUCUAGCCAUCUACGCGUACGGGUGUUGGGAGACAUCGCCCGGAGAUGGAUUCUGAGACACGAAUCCAGACCCUACGGGGUGCAGCAGGCGCGAAAACUUGGCAAUGCGAGCAAUCGUGACCAGGGAACUCCAAGUGCAUCGGGUAAGACCGAUGCUUUUCUUGACUCUUCAAAGGUCUUGGAAUAAGGGGUGGGUAAGGACGGUGCCAGCCGCCGCGGUAAUACCGGCGCCUCAAGUGGUAGUCGCUUUUAUUGGGCCUAAAACGUCCGUAGCCGGUUUGGUACAUUCGUGGGUAAAUCAAGGCGCUCAACGCCUUGAAUUCUGCGAGCACGGCCAGACUUGGGACCGGGUGAGGUGUGGGGUACUCUCAGGGUAGGGGUAAAAUCCUGUCAUCCUGAGAGGACCACCUGUUGCGAAGGCGCCACACUAGAACGGAUCCGACGGUCAGGGACGAAGCCUAGGGGCACGAACCGGAUUAGAUACCCGGGUAGUCCUAGGUGUAAACGCUGUGGACUUGAUGUUGGGAGUGCUCCGAGCACCCUCAGUGUCGAAGCGAAGGUGAUAAGUCCACUGCCUGGGGAGUACGGUCGCAAGGCUGAAACUUAAAGGAAUUGGCGGGGGAGCACUGCAACCUGAGGAUUGUGCGGUUUAAUUGGAGUCAACGCCGGA